UGGUCUGUGAAAGAGGAGGGGGUGAGGUCUCACGCUCGUCAGCACACUUCCUGAGGUGGCGCACUUCAGAGCCGAGGAACAUCUGCAGCUCAUCAUCUCCUCUCACCUGACAUUCAUGAGCUCCUGAUUAUGAGCCAGCUACUUAAACCCCGGCUCUGAGCUCAGUCUUUGCCAGUCUUCUGUGAUGCAGCCAGAGCAAUCUGUGAUUCCAAGUCCAUGACACCGUGAACCUUACAUAUGCUCUCCGUGACCUUGACUGUGCCACAUUCCUGCUGCUUCCAUGCACUCGACAUCUGAGCUUUCCACAGCUCAUUCCAAGUUCCUUGGCUCUGUGUGUCCCUCCUGGCUCCAGUCCCAGCUCAAUAUGCUCCAGGACUCCAGCUGUUCUCAGACUCCCAAGUCUGUCCCUGUGUGCACUGCAGUUCCCGAACUUCCACCACGACAUGUGGGCCCUGUCUCAGCU